UCCAUUCUUGAUGUUGGUUCCACUCGACGCGCCACAGAUAAACUGGAGGAAGCUCUGAAGAAGAAGGACCAAGACCUUGCAGAGGCACAGAAGGAGGCCUCAAGCAAAACGAAGCUUGCAGAGGAGAAAUUGGCUUCGGUCGGAGCUCUUGAACAGGAGAACUCCAGACUGAAAACCGCUCUCGAGACAGCUAAUCGAGAUGCCAGUCGACUGAAGAAGGAGAAGAUGGCUCUGCACAACAAGGCGGGUGAGCUGGUGGGGAAGGUAAAAGAUCUGGAAACACGUUGUUCAUGUUUUAACUUAUCUAUAUAAUAUUUUAGGGGUAGGAAUAUUUUUGUUAUUAAGCUACUCUAAUGGAACCACAUCUUUUUCUAACAUAUAAUAUAGUGGAGAAUAACUUGUGUACGCUGCUGAAAAUUAUUUCUAUUAGGAAAUGAACAAUGGAAACAUGCACAGAUAGAAGGAUAUGGGGCACCUUCCAUCUGCCUGAGUGACCAUGUCCUGUCAUACUUUAAUGCCUACGAUGUUGAAAAUCAGGUGGAAUCAAAAGUUUCUUUAUUAUUUGGCUUUCAAAGAUGGAAGUUGCCUUAUUAUUUGGAAGGCAAUAAAGUCACAAAGAUGCAGCUGUCAAACAGGAUGUGAUCCCUUCAUAUAACCUUUGACGAGCUCCUGUUUGAACACCCAUCCCUGUCUUCACCAAUUUCCGAUCACUCACCACUCUCAUCAAUGGAGGUUGUGCACGAAGCAAUGGAAGUUCAGGUCGGACCACAAGAGGCUUUGCCCGCCCCUCAGGAGGCUGCUGCCAAUGCAAAUGCCCUAGCAGAUACCGUUGACUAUAUUUUUCAAUCUAUCACUGCUGAACAAGACGAUGAGGCACUAAAGUAAGUUGUAUUGCUCUGUCUAUUACUUGGUUUCAAUAUGCAUGGUUUCUGAUUGCAUAUAUUUGAUUAAUUACUGCACAAUACAUUAUUUUAUUGCCCCAUAGCAACACAAAGGCAUUCGCCUAUGUAAUGAAUAAGUUAUUUGGUUAUCAUGGGCCUACAUUAUUAAAUAACUAUUAUUGAUACGUGUUAAUUGUCUGAUACACUUUUUUACCUAUGGUACAUGUGGCAUAUGGUACAUAAAAAAAUCUACCAGAUUAUCAAAAAGGAGUUAGGAUGUUUUUAAUUAAAUAAUUUUUUUCACUGAUCUUUACUAUACAAAAGAGUUAGACAAUACGUGAUGUUUUUUGGUAAUGAUUGGUCUGCAUUUUUUGGCCAGCACAAUUUGGAUUAGAAGCGAACGACCGUAUCGGAUUGAAAUCACCCUACGGAUGCUCCAGGAAACAAUUUUGCUUCUUGGGCAAAUUCAUCCCGAAUGCUUCAAUCUUGCAGUUCGUAAACUUGCGAGUGCUGAAGUAGAGACCACUGCAGGUACAAGAAUGCUUGCAAACAGACAUUUUUUCAACUUGCAGUUUCAUUCUCAGGCACGGGCCCUCAGACACUCUUGGAUGGAUCAAGAAACACGCACCGCAGUGCUGAUUGACAAUGUCGUUGUCCGGCCGUUUCCUAAAUAUGAUGUGUUCAACUCUAACAUUGUAAGAGACUCAUUCUAAACAUUUAUUUUGCUUAUUAUAUUAGCUACUAACAUGUGUCUAUUUAUCGUAGUAUCUACUACCAUUUGUUUCGGUGGAUUCUUCAUACAGACUUCUUGUAGUCAACAUGGGAAGUAGGAGGGUUCUCCCAAUUGAUCCAUGUAUCGACGCCUAUGGUGGACCAUACAGCUUUCAUAGCACUGAAACGAGGAAAGAAAUCACAAUGUUGAAGCAAGAGUCCAACAAUGUGUUGCAGCUGAGGAUCCCUGGUUGGAAUACCAACCUCAUGGACUGGUCAAUAUGCGGGAAAUCUUCUACCGGCAGGCGCAAAGACUCCGCUUUCCUUGUCCUACAGGAGAUGGCCCACUAGAAUGGUACUACUCAUUCUGGUAGGAUGACCACUCACGUAAAUACACAAUAAUAAUGUUUGUCGUUCAAUAUAUUUUAUAGCAAAUUUUUAAAUUAUUUUUUUCCAUCUUUUAUAGGAUUCAAUACAGCUCAGAAAGAACGUGAUGGUUCAGAUGCUGACGAUCAAAAACAAUGAAGCAGCUGGAAACAUACCGGCUGAAAUUAUAGCGGCCUUGAGUGUUUUAGACUACUGAAUAUGGUCCGAUGCACAUUCAUAUGUCAGUCUUAAAUGGCUAUUACAGCUUUGUUAGGGAUCGAUGGUCUGAUGCAUGCAGAUAUGCCAAUAAUAUAUUCCUAUACUUCAGAUUUGUUA